UACGUCUUUUACGUAUAAUUUUCUUCCCUUCUACAACAACAAAGUAGGAUAUUCUAUCUUCCUGAGUGUUUGUAAUUACUCAUCGUGUGUUUCACAUCUUUGUUUUUGUAUUUUGGAUCCUAACGUAAUCUCCAGGAAUCAAAGGGUUUCGAUCUAUGGGGGUGCGAUCAUAGUAUUUUUUCUCUCUCUUCUUCCCCCCUGUCCAUUCAAAGUCGGAUAGCGAUAGGCGAGUAUAGCCAAUGGACAAUGCUGGGAAUCUUUGCAGGAGUACCAAAUUCUGUCCGGAAUUGUAGUCUACCGUCUCUUCGAAUAUGCAUUGGAAGCCCCAAUCAUCAAAGUCAGUACAUAAUAUCAGUGACUGACUUAGUUGAAGCGACUACCCUAAAUAGAAGUCCACGACGACGAGAUAUGUUUUCCCGUUGACCUCCAUUAGGUUGGAAGCCACGUAUUCAAUGGACCUUGACGCUGUAGAUUGUUGGAGUGAUUCUAGAGGUGUUUUACAAGUUCUUUGAAUUCCUUGGUUUGAUGCAUGGAGCUCUUAGAGGAUAUUUUGACGACUUGAGGAGGGAACUGCAAUACGAUGACUGUUUUAAACAAAUUAAAUAUGAGAUGCUUAUGGUUUGUUAUUACUUUAAAUUGAUUUCCCAAUAAGUGAGUUCUACAUUUGAGGAUAGCCCAUUAAAUUGCCAGGCUUCUUAUUUGAAAAAUGCGUAUCUCGUUUUAGCGUCGUUCAAAAAUUGUGAGGCACACUGAAUUAAUCUAGUGAAGCCAUCACAGUGGAUUUGUAGAAGAGCAAAACCAAUUCCGCGAAGAUGUAAAACAUCUGUCACAAGUGUAAUGGGAAGUUUUGGAUUGCAUUGAUCGAGAACAGAACUUUUUGGAUUGUAAGGCGUGAAGCGGUUGUGUGGUGUGUACUAAGUCUAAA
rnacentral:lncRNA from 1 species